UACGUAGGGUGCGAGCGUUGUCCGGAAUUAUUGGGCGUAAAGAGCUCGUAGGCGGUUUGUCGCGUCGGCCGUGAAAUCUCCACGCUUAACGUGGAGCGUGCGGUCGAUACGGGCAGACUUGAGUUCGGUAGGGGAGACUGGAAUUCCUGGUGUAGCGGUGAAAUGCGCAGAUAUCAGGAGGAACACCGGUGGCGAAGGCGGGUCUCUG
rnacentral:rRNA from 1 species